AUGGCCAACCCACCAAAGGUUCUGCUCCUUGCCAUCUUCGGUUGCCUCUGCCUCUGUAGUUCAGUUCUAGCAGCUCGCAAGCUCAGUGAUGACUUGUCCAUCGUAGCAUGGCACGAGAGUUGGAUGGCCCAGUAUGGCCGUGUGUACAAGGAUGCCACGGAGAAGGCUCAUAAGUUGAAGGUGUUCAAGGCCAAUGUCGAGUUCAUUGAGUCCUUCAACACUGAGAACCACAAGUUCUAUUUGGGUGUCAAUCAAUUCGCUGACCUCACCAACGAGGAGUUUCAGAUGACAAAGGCUAACAAAGGAUACAAAGCGAGCUUGGAGAGGGCUCCCACGGGAUUCAGGUAUGAGAACGUGAGCUUGGAUGCACUUUCGGCAACAGUAGAUUGGAGGACGAAGGGUGCGGUCACUCCAAUCAAGGAUCAGGGCCAAUGUUGGCAUCAUCAAGCUAAAAACUGGCAAGCUUAUCUCUUUAUCGUAACAAGAGUUGGUAGAUUGUGA
rnacentral:rRNA from 1 species